UACGUAGGUGGCGAGCGUUAUCCGGAAUCAUUGGGCGUAAAGAGGGAGCAGGCGGCGAUAGAGGUCUACGGUGAAAGCCUGAAGCUAAACUUCAGCGAGCCGCGGAAACCAGAUGGCUAGAGUGCGGUAGAGGAUCGUGGAAUUCCAUGUGUAGCGGUGAAAUGCGUAGAUAUAUGGAGGAACACCAGUGGCGAAGGCGACGAUCUGGGCCUGCACUGACGCUCAGUCCCGAAAGCGUGGGGAGCAAAUAGG
rnacentral:rRNA from 1 species